rnacentral:ncRNA from 1 species
CUAUCGUUUGCCGGUCAUUGAAAAAUCAGUGAUCGGGCUUGGUAGGCCCGUAGC